rnacentral:tRNA from 1 species
GGGAAUGUGGCUCAAUGGUAGAGUGCUUGCCUUGCAUGCAGGAGGCCCUGGGUUUGAUUCCUCAGCACCA